UGGGGAAUAUUGCACAGUGGAGGGAACUCUGAUGCAGCGACGCCGCGUGAACGAAGAAGGCUUUCGCGUCGUAAAGUUCUUUUAUAUGGGAAGAUAAUGACGGUACCAUAAGAAAAAGCCCCGGCUAACUACGUGCCAGCAGCCGCGGUAAUACGUAGGGGGCUAGCGUUGUCCGGAAUCACUGGGCGUAAAGGGUUCGCAGGCGGAAAUGCAAGUCAGGUGUAAAAGGCAGUAGCUUAACUACUGUAAGCAUUUGAAACUGCAUAUCUUGAGAAGAGUAGAGGUAAGUGGAAUUUUUAGUGUAGCGGUGAAAUGCGUAGAUAUUAAAAAGAAUACCGGUGGCGAAGGCGACUUACUGGGCUCAUUCUGACGCUGAGGAACGAAAGCGUGGGUAGCAAACAGG
rnacentral:rRNA from 1 species